rnacentral:lncRNA from 1 species
AUGUGGAAGGUACUCAUGUGCCAGCCUCCUUCUCUGGGAGGAGACAAGAAGCAACUGUAAAGAGGCAGCAGCCAAGACAUCGAGCACCCUGGGCAGCGAGAGAGCCAUACCGUGGUCCCGUGAGCCGGCCUAGACUGGAGUACUGUGAUCCAUCUGCUUGUUGGCACUUGCUGAGUGCUUGGCUGAGUGUGAGGUGCAGGAAAUACCCUUCCUCCUUCCUUGAUGUGGUGGUGGGCCUGUGCCUAUCGCCCAUGCCUGACAUUCUCUGCCACCAGGCUGUCAAUCAGAAACCCCUGUCCUCCAUGCCAGCCUGGGAUACCAACUCUAGGAAUCGGCCUGGGACUAAAGUUUGCCAACCACAGCCAUUCGGAGGGGCUGCCGUGGAUGGUGAGGGGGAAAGAGAAGCUGUCUUCAUGACUGGUACCUGCAAGGAAGACACAUAUCAAAGACUUAAAUGUCAGUCUACUGUGGGUUCUCUUUACUUGUAACCAAGAGUCUUAUAUAUUACAGCAUGUGAGACUACAUUCAUC